rnacentral:rRNA from 1 species
UGAAUACGAGAUGCUACGGCGUCGAAGCAGUGUAUGUCAGACUUCCAAGAAAAGCUCGCAAUGUCAUAAAUAAAGAAUGCCUGUACCAUAACCGACACAGGUGGGUAGGUAGAGUAUACUAAGGGGCGCGAGAUAACUCUUUCUAAGGAACUCGGCAAAAUAACUCCGUAACUUCGGGAGAAGGAGUGCCUUCUAUUAGAAGGUUGCAAUAACAAGAUCCAAGCAACUGUUUAUCAAAAACACAGGUCUCCGCUAAGUCGUAAGACGAUGUAUGGGGGCUGACGCCUGCCCAGUGCCAGAAGGUUAAAGAAGUUGGUUAGCUUUGGCGAAGCUGAUGACUGAAGCCCUGGUGAACGGCGGCCGUAACAAUAACGGUCCUAAGGUAGCGAAAUUCCUUGUCGGGUAAGUUCCGACCCGCACGAAAGGCGUAAUGAUUUGGAUACUGUCUCGGAGAGGGACUCGGUGAAAUAGACUUGUCUGUGAAGAUGCGGACUACCUGCACCAGGACAGAAAGACCCUAUGAAGCUUUACUGUAACUUGAAAUUGAAAUUGGACUUUAUUUGCGCAGCAUAGGUGGAAGGCGUUGAGAUUACUCUUGCGGGAGUACUGGAGCCAUCAGUGAGAUACCACUCCUAUAAUGUUAGAUUUCUAACUUUGGAUCAUGAUCUGGUCAAAGAACAGUUUCAGGCGGGCAGUUUGACUGGGGCGGUCGCCUCCCAAAUGGUAACGGAGGCGUACAAAGGUUUCCUCUGAACGGGUAGAAAUCGUAUCUAGAGUGUAAAGGCAUAAGGAAGCUUGACUGUGAGACCUACAAGUCGAGCAGGGACGAAAGUCGGUCUUAGUGAUCUGACGGUGCUGAGUGGAAAGGCCGUCACUCAACGGAUAAAAGUUACUCUAGGAUAACAGGCUGAUCUCCCCCAAGAGUUCACAUCGACGGGGAGGUUUGGCACCUCGAUGUCGGCUCAUCGCAUCCUGGGGCGGUAGUACGUCCCAAGGGUUGGGCUGUUCGCCCAUGAAAGCGGUACGCGAGCUGGGUUCAGAACGUCGUGAGACAGUUCGGUCCAUAUCCGGUGUAGGCGUUAGAAUAUUGAGAGGAGCCUUCUUUAGUACGAGAGGACCGAGAAGGACAUACCUCUGGUGUACCAGUUAUCGUGCCAACGGUAAACGCUGGGUAGCUAUGUAUGGAGAGGAUAACCGCUGAAAGCAUCUAAGUGGGAAGCCCACCUCAAGAUGAGUAUUCUCA